rnacentral:lncRNA from 1 species
AACAUUAAAAAUUGGGUAAGUUAUAGUUACCUCCCCUGAGAUUUAUGAAAAUCAUAGAGACUUCCCUUACUUUUUUUGAAAUUGCACUGCACUCUCUUCUGGUUCAGAUUUUUAUUUCAUAUUCCCCCUUCUGUUAGAAGACCGUCAAAGAGGUUAACAAAUCUUGUUGAACUUAGCAACUUAUUUUAUUUGGUUUCCAAUUUUACCCUUGAUACACUCCUAGCAAGACAAAAAUUAGGGAGCUUCUAAAUGCAACCCUAAAGGUCUCAGUACACCCUAAUUGGGGUAACACAUACAUUUCUAAAAUUUUGGAUUUUAAUUUGUACCAACACCAUCAUAUGACCUUAGGAAAAAAAAAAGCCUAACCAUAAAACCUUGCCCCAUGCAGCAUCUACCACCACCCUCGUCGACAUCCCCUUCAAACACCGCCUGUCUCUCUCUCCAUCACCAUCACCCGCUCUCCUUUUCCCUCCUCCUUCCACUACACCCCUCCCACCACACCAUACGAGGGCAACCCUUUCUAUCUGUAUCCUCGUUCCUACUCCCACACCGUCAAGUUCCACAUCUCACCAACGCUACCGCAACAUCACAAUCAUCAUCAUUGUUGAGGUAGAAAUCUGGCGCGAGCAACCAACAAUCAGAAUUGCUCAAGGUGGCAACCUCGAUCACCUACAUAAGGAAAUAAACGUUACUGGCCGGGGUGCUACCGCUCAAAACCCCUUCGACGUGGUGAUGAGAUCGUAUGAGAUAAAUCUAUUAAACAAAGCACAGUAGAGAAAUCAAGAAACAAAAGCUUAUGAAGUGCGAUUGUCGUUACCUUUUUCUAGAGAAUUAUGAGCAGGUUUUAUAAAUGGAGAUUUUAAAAACGUGUGAGGAGAUGGAGAUAAUGUCGCAACUAUAGGAGACUGUGAUGGAGAUGUAGUAAAUCACAUUCAUCUCGGUCUGGAAAUAUUGGCAUCAUAAACUACUGAGCAACAUGAAUUAGUGACUUGAAAGGUUGUGAUGAGAAUACAGCGACAUAAGACAGCUUGACAUGUUGAGUGACGAUCAUAAUAGACGUUGGCAAUGUGUCCUUCCUAGACUUUGGCGAUAUAGCUAUCUCACGAACAAUGUUGCGACAUGGUUGCCUCAGGUUGGGUUAUCUCUUCUUCUGGAGUUAAUUUGAAUAGCUGAAAAUUUAUCGCUCAUCAAUCAUAAUCAGUUGACACCUAUUACAAAUUGG